rnacentral:rRNA from 14 species
UAUGGCGCACUACCUUAGUACUCAGAUCUCAUCUGAUCUCAGCAGCUAAGCAAGACUGGGCCCCAUUAGUACCCGCAAGGGGGGAAAGACGUUGGGAACUGUUGUUGGGUGUCAGGU